rnacentral:tRNA from 1 species
GCCUUGGUGGCUCAGUUGUUAAGCAUCUGACUUCAGCUCAGGUCAUGAUCUCACGGUUCGUGAGUUCAAGUCCCGCAUAGGGUG